UCAACAAAGGGAAUCCGCGCUCGCGACGAGGCGCUGGCGCUUGCGGCGAUCAGUCCGCGUCGCCAGUUCCUGCUCCGAUCGGUUCUUUGCUUCGCGUUUUCGAGUCAGACGCAUUGUAUGUUCCGCGAGUUAUCCGAAGCAGUGCUCAAAAAUGUUCGGUGAAAAGUAGUCACUGGAUGGGGUCAAUCGAGACCCACGGACGACGAAUAGUGUGAGAGAAAAGAGACAAGGUGCAGAAAUUUGUGAUUUUGGUGCGGAGCCUAAUUUGAUAUUCUGCGAUUGGAGUAACAGAAACUCAACCAAUUAAGAUGGGAGCUGGGUGCAGGAACCUUAGCAAACUGGAUUGGUGGACCCAGUAAAGAUGCAGGCAGUGAUGACAACAGCAAAGGAGGCUAUAUUUUCUUUGAGACUUCUUUGCUAGCUGCACCAGUCUUGCGAAUUGAGGACAUUGGAGUUAGAGAUGGUCAAAAUGCCUACAUUGAAAGUGCCAUUCAGAUGUCAACAGGAGCAGAAGGAAAAUGUGUCUCUUCAGGUAAUUCCUUAACGCUUGAAUGAAAAAGGCAAUUUUUAUGUUACCUAAUGGUAUCGGUGUCGCAUGCAAAACAUAAAUCAAGCAUUUUGUCAAAUGCCGAAGCAAAUAGUCAAUACUUUACUUUCAUUGAUUUUUGACAAAAUGAUGAGCUUGUUU
rnacentral:lncRNA from 1 species